AGCAGCCGCGGUAAUUCCAGCUCCAAUAGCGUAUAUUAAAGUUGUUGCAGUUAAAAAGCUCGUAGUUGAAUUUCGGGAUCAGUUUGUUGGUCGUGCUUCGGUACGUACUGUCAUUACUGGUUUCUCCCUUCUGAAGAACCUUGAUGUCAUUAAUUUGGUGUCUUGGGGAAUCAGGGACUGUUACUUUGAAAAAAUUAGAGUAGUUUAAAGCAGGCAUACGCUUGAAUACAUUAGCAUGGAAUAAUGAAAUAGGACGUUUGAUUCUAUUUUGUUGGUUUUCUAGGUAUCGACGUAAUGAUUAAUAGGGAUAGUUGGGGGCAGUUAGUAUUCAAUUGUCAGAGGUGAAAUUCUUAGGAUUUUAUUGUAAGACUAACUACUGCGAAAGCAAUUUGCCAAGGAUGUUUUCAUUAAUCAAGAACGAAAGUUAGGGGAUCGAAGACGAUCAGAUACCGUCGUAGUCUUAACCAUAAACUAUAGCCGACUAGGGAUCGGAUGAUGUUAUUUUUAAUGACUCAUUCGG
rnacentral:rRNA from 1 species